CAGCAGCCACGGUAAUACGAAGGGUGCAAGAGUUACUCGGAAUUACUGGGCGUAAAGCGUGCGUAGGUGGUGGUUUAAGUCCGUUGUGAAAGCCCUGGGCUCAACCUGGGAAUUGCAGUGGAUACUGGGUCACUAGAGUGUGGUAGAGGAUAGUGGAAUUUCCGGUGUAGCAGUGAAAUGCGUAGAGAUCGGAAGGAACAUCUGUGGCGAAGGCGACUAUCUGGGCCAACACUGACACUGAGGCACGAAAGCGUGGGGAGCAAACAGGAUUAGAUACCCCGGUAGUCCCUGUCUCUUAUAC
rnacentral:rRNA from 1 species